AUUCAGCUGACGAGUCCCAAAUAGGACGAAACGCCGGUUCUGGAU
rnacentral:hammerhead_ribozyme from 1 species